CGCCGACCCGUCGUUAGCUGCCGCGUGCCGCUCCGCCUCCUGUGGAAGCCCCUCGUCUCACGCAUUUGCAUCUCCGAGUACAAAGGACGUGAAGAGCUGAUACCGUCGCUGAUUUCUCUCCUGGUUACUCGUGCACCAACACCCCGAGAAAAGGACACACGUGUGAAAAAGCGAAGGUGAGGAGGAGAUUCAAAGCAGUGCGGAUCAGCGCGUUGGUGUCUGCGAG